UACGUAGGUGGCAAGCGUUGUCCGGAUUUACUGGGCGUAAAGAGCGCGCAGGCGGCUGGGCAAGUCCGAUGUGAAAGCUUCCGGCUUAACUGGAAAAUUGCAUUGGAAACUGCUCGGCUUGAAGGUGGGAGAGGGUAGCGGAAUUCCCGGUGUAGAGGUGAAAUUCGUAGAUAUUCGGAAGAACACCAGUGGCGAAGGCGGCUCACUGGCCCGGUACUGACGCUGAGGUGCGAAAGCGUGGGGAGCAAACAGG
rnacentral:rRNA from 1 species